rnacentral:tRNA from 1 species
GCGCUGGUGCUGGAAUUGGCAGACAGGCAUGGUUGAGGGCCAUGUGACAUCUUCGUCGUGGGGGUUCGAUUCCCCCCCAGCGCA